CUACGGGCGGCACCAGGCGAGAAAACUUUGCAAUGUGCGAAAGCACGACAAGGUUAAUCCGAGUGGUUUCUGCUAAAGGAACCUUUUGACAGUCCUAGAAACACUGUUGAAUAAGGGGUGGGCAAGUUCUGGUGUCAGGCCGCCGCGGUAAAACCAGCACCUCAAGUGGUCAGGAUGAUUAUUGGGCCUAAAGCAUCCGUAGCCGGCUCUGUUAGUUUUCGGUUAAAUCUGUACGCUCAACGUACAGGCUGCCGGGAAUACUGCAGAGCUAGGGAGUGGGAGAGGUAGACGGUACUCGGUAGGAAGGGGUAACAUCCUUUGAUCUAUUGAUGACCACCUGUGGCGAAGGCGGUCUACCAGAACACGUCCGACGGUGAGGGAUGAAAGCUGGGGGAGCAAACCGGAUUAGAUACCCCCGUAGUC
rnacentral:rRNA from 1 species